CCCAAACCUGAUGCGACGCAUAUCAUGCCCAUGGUUCAAUCAACAAGGCCAGUAUUGCUUUGGGUGCGACGGGAUGAUUCUCGAGAAAAGUAAAUCUUCCCGACAGAAAUUAACGUUUAAUCUCAUAUUAAUAGGGUUUUGGACAGUUUAGUUCUGUCCUUCCGUGCCGAGUACUCAUUAGUCCAGAAUUUUUCCGGCUAGACCAUUUGGUUCAUAUUUUGGAUGAGUUAGUCUAAAUUUCAGCCGAUCUGAAAAAUACGAUUCUUUUUAUUUCCUUAAUUAUCCUUUUCGUGUUUAGGUGUUUAUUCUAAUUUUCAGAUCUAAGAAAUUGGAGAGAGAUAGAAAUGGAGACAAUUUGGAAUUGUUGUUCUUUAGAGGGAUUCGUUCUUCAGGGCAUACAUGCAUGACCAAGGCUUACCCUGCACGACUUCUUCUCACCUGACUGAUGAAGUUGACAGAUUGUGAGAGUAUAUCGUGUCACAACUUACAUGAUCCAAUGAUGUGGAACCUCAUAUAGACAAGAUUGAUUAUAAUUUUUAAAUUGUUGCAUUGUGAGUAUACUCAUGAUAAUCAACCAUUUGACGUGUAACUCCUUGAAUUAAGGUCUAUUAUGUUCUCAUUUUCUGACUUUUUACUUAAAUCACCUGGUUAUAAUGCUGACUUUCUG